rnacentral:rRNA from 1 species
UGCCAGCCGCCGCGGUAAGACGGAGGGCUCAAACGUUGUUCGGAAUCACUGGGCAUAAAGCGCACGUAGGCGGCUUGUUAAGUCGGAUGUGAAAUCCCUCGGCUCAACCGGGGAACUGCAUUCGAUACUGGCAGGCUCGAGGACGGAAGGGGUAAGCGGAACUCCAGGUGGAACGGUGAAAUGUGUAGAUAUCUGGAGGAACACCGGUGGCGAAAGCGGCUUACUGGUCCGUAUCAGACGCUGAGGUGUGAAAGCUAGGGUAGCAAACGGGAUUAGAUA